rnacentral:tRNA from 1 species
GCGCGGGUAGCUCAGUGGUAGAGCGUUCAAUUGCAGCUCGAAGGGUCACUGGUUCAAUUCCGGUCCCGCGCU